AGGCAACAAGCUGUUCCAGGAGCUCGUGUAAUAUUUACUGAUGGCUCAGCUAAAGGCCUUUGUGUUUUACAGAUCUUAGCCCUGCUAAUGGAAGGAACUGCUUGCAAUGGGUAUCCAGCUCCCCAACAUCAUUUUUACACACAGAAGAUCAUGAAGAUUGCGGGACUGCUCAUAACUCCCCCUGGUGGUACAUUAGCAAGGCACUGAAUUAGAAGUGGGUCAUCUGGCACACAAACUAGCAUUUAUACGGGAUGCCAGUGUUGUGGGUGAUGACUUGAGCUACUAUUCUACAACCAUGGACACGCUUCAUGAUCUUAAAUGAACAUCUUUGUUUCUUCCCAAAGGAAAUAACAGCCCCUGUGUUCACAUGAGGAGAUAGUUGCAGAGAAAUCUUUCACUUCCUGGUUCCUUCCUCAAGUGCCUGAGACAGCCAAAACUGGAAUCUAGGCAUUUCAUCUAUAUUUCCCACAUGGAUGUGAGGGGCUGGAG